rnacentral:rRNA from 1 species
UACGUAGGGGGCAAGCGUUGUCCGGAUUUAUUGGGCGUAAAGGGCUCGUAGGCGGUCUGUCGCGUCUGCUGUGAAAACUCGGGGCUUAACCCCGGGCCUGCAGUGGGUACGGGCAGACUAGAGUGCGGUAGGGGAGACUGGAAUUCCUGGUGUAGCGGUGAAAUGCGCAGAUAUCAGGAGGAACACCGGUGGCGAAGGCGGGUCUCUGGGCCGUAACUGACGCUGGAGGAGCGAAAGCGUGGGGAGCGAACAGG